UACGUAGGGGGCUAGCGUUAUCCGGAAUUACUGGGCGUAAAGGGUGCGUAGGUGGUUUCUUAAGUCAGAGGUGAAAGGCUACGGCUCAACCGUAGUAAGCCUUUGAAACUGUUUUUCUUGAGUGGAGUAGAGGUAGGCGGAAUUCCGAGUGUAGCGGUGAAAUGCGUAGAGAUUCGGAGGAACACCAGUGGCGAAGGCGGCCUACUGGGCUCUAACUGACGCUGAGGCUCGAAAGUGUGGGGAGCAAACAGGAUUAGAUACCCCGGUAGUCCCUGAGCGGGCUGGCAA
rnacentral:rRNA from 1 species